UCCCAGAUAGUCUAGGUGUUAGGAUAGCUGGCUCUCACCCAGCAGACCCGGGUUCGAGUCCGGUCUGGGAA
rnacentral:tRNA from 1 species